AGAGUUUGAUCCUGGCUCAGAACGAACGCUGGCGGCAAGCUUAACACAUGCAAGUCGAACGGAUUUUUAUCAUAGCUUGCUAUGAWWAAAAUUAGUGGCAGACGGGUGAGUAAUGCAUAGGAAUCUACCUAGUAGUAUGGGAUAGCCACUAGAAAUGGUGGGUAAUACUGUAUAAUCCUGCGGGGGAAAGAUUUAUCGCUAUUAGAUGAGCCUAUGUUAGAUUAGCUAGUUGGUAGGGUAAAGGCCUACCAAGGCAGUGAUCUAUAGCUGGUCUGAGAGGAUGAUCAGCCACACUGGAACUGAGAUACGGUCCAGACUCCUACGGGAGGCAGCAGUGGGGAAUAUUGGACAAUGGGCGCAAGCCUGAUCCAGCUAUGCCGCGUGAGUGAGGAAGGCCUUAGGGUUGUAAAACUCUUUCAGUGGGGAAGAUAAUGACGGUACCUACAGAAGAAGUCCCGGCAAACUC
rnacentral:rRNA from 1 species